rnacentral:rRNA from 1 species
UAGGGGACGAAUUAGUGACGGUACCCUACGAAUAAGAGGUUGCUAACUCUGUGCCAGCAGCAGCGGUAAUACAGAGACCUCAAACAUUGUCCGGAUUCAUUGGGCGUAAAGCGUCCGCAGGUGUUCUGAUAAGUUUUCUGCUAAAUCCCAAGGCUUAACCUUGGGUCUGCGGAGAAUACUAUUAGAAUCGAGGUUGGGAGAGGCACACGGAACUGCCGGUGUAGUAGUAAAAUGCGUUGAUAUCGG